rnacentral:rRNA from 1 species
UCAAUAAGCGGAGGAAAAGAAACUAACAAGGAUUCCCCUAGUAACGGCGAGUGAAGAGGGAAGAGCUCAAAUUUUAAAUCUGGCGCCUUCGGUGUCCGAGUUGUAAUCUAUAGAAGUGUUUUCCGCRGUGGACCGUGUACAAGUUUCCUGGAACGGUACGUCAUAGAGGGUGAGAAUCCCGUAUGUGGCACGGACUCCCAUUGCUAUGUGAUACACUCUCAACGAGUCGAGUUGUUUGGGAAUGCAGCUCAAAGUGGGUGGUAAAUUCCAUCUAAAGCUAAAUAUUGGCGAGAGACCGAUAGCGAACAAGUACCGUGAGGGAAAGAUGAAAAGCACUUUGGAAAGAGAGUGAAACAGUACGUGAAAUUGUUAAAAGGGAAACGCUUGAAGUCAGUCGCGCCUCUUGGGAUUCAGCCUUACUUCUGUUUGGUGUAUUUCCUGUUGGGCGGGUCAACGUCAGUUUCGAUCGAGGGAAAAAGGGGUUAGAAAUGUGGCCGUCUUCGGGUGGUGUUAUAGUCUUUCCUUGUAUGCCUCGGUUUGGGACUGAGGACCGCAGCGCGCCUUUUGGCCGGGGUUCGCCCACGUACGCGCUUAGGAUGUKGGCAUAAUGGCUUUAAGCGACCCGUCUUG